GCCCAGGUAGCUCAGUCGGUAGAGCAACGCACUCGUAAUGCGUAGGUCAGGAGUUCGAUUCUCCUCCUGGGCUCCA
rnacentral:tRNA from 1 species